rnacentral:rRNA from 1 species
GAUCAUGGUUCAGGAUGAACGCUAGCUACAGGCUUAACACAUGCAAGUCGGAGGGGCAGCAUGUAUCUGGCUUGCCAGAUACGAUGGCGACCGGCGCACGGGUGAGUAACGCGUAUCCGACCUGCCGCACACUCCGGGAUAGCCUUGCGAAAGCAAGUUUAAUACCGGAUGCCGUAAGGACGCCGCAUGGUGUCUUUACGAAAGGGGUUUACCGGUGUGCGAUGGGGAUGCGUCCCAUUAG